UAAAAAAACGUACUUUUUGUGAAAAGACCUUGUGGGGAAUUGAAUAAUAUUAUCUUACAACUAAAACAGCACAACUUUGAUGCAGAAAAGGCAAAACUAGAAAUUUUUCAUCAAACCUGGUAGAAAAUACGAAUUUUGGACGGGUGAGAGUGGUUGAACCCUGUGGGAUCCAAUAUCUUCUUUUUCAAAAAAUGUGAAAAAGACGCCGUUUUUUCAACAAAUGGAAGUUUCUUUGGGGGCGGGGGACCUCACAGAUCAAAG